rnacentral:rRNA from 1 species
AUUGAACGCUGGCGGCAGGCCUAACACAUGCAAGUCGAACGAGUGGCGGACGGGUGAGUAAUGUCUGGGAAACUGCCUGAUGGAGGGGGAUAACUACUGGAAACGGUAGCUAAUACCGCAUACCAUCGGAUGUGCCCAGAUGGGAUUAGAUAGUAGGUGGGGUAAAGGCUCACCUAGGCGACGAUCCCUAGCUAGUCUGAGAGGAUGACCAGCCACACUGGAACUGAGACACGGUCCAGGCUCCUACGUGUGGCAGCAGUGGGGAAUAUUGCACAAUGGGCGCAGGCCUGAUGCAGCCAUGCCGGGUGGAUGAAGAAGGCCUUCGGGUUGUAAAGUACUUUCAGCGGGGAGGCGUUACCCGCAGAAGAAGCACCGGCUAACUCCGUGCCAGCAGCCGCGGUAAUUC